CGUGUAGGCGGUUGGUUAAGUCGGAUGUGAAAGCCUGGGGCUCAGCCCCAGAAGUGCAUCCGAAACUAUCCGGCUAGAGCGCGAUAGAGGAGGGUAGAAUUCCUGGUGUAGCGGUGAAAUGCGUAGAUAUCAGGAGGAACACCGGCGGCGAAGGCGGCCCUCUGGAUCGUUGCUGACGCUGAGACGCGAAAGCGUGGGGAGCAAACAGGAUUAGAUACCCUGGUAGUCCACGCCUUAAACGAUGGGUACUAGGUGUUCGGGGUGUUGACCCCCUGAGUGCCGCAGUUAACGCAUUAAGUACCCCGCCUGGGGACUACGGCCGCAAGGUUAAA
rnacentral:rRNA from 1 species